ensembl:lncRNA
CAGCCUGAGCCCGAUGGCAACCGACUUUGACCUCUCUUAUGUUUUCCAUCUGCACUACAUUUAUCACACCAGAGAGUUUGGAAUCUAUGGCCUUUUUAUGCAAUUUAAAUUGGAAUGUUCAGGUUGCCCUCCUCCCUGUCCUAGGGGAAAGCAUCUGCUUUGGAAGAAACUCUGCUUGAGUGGACUUCCAAGAGAGGAAAACAGGAAUGGUCUUUGUCUUGAGACAAGGUGGAUUCCUGGCUGUUCUGGUGCUGAUGCAGAGUGAAGACAAAGAAAGGGGUUUUGUUACAGAGAAAAAGAUACUCUUUAUCCCUCCCCCUCCAUUCCAUGAGUUUCUGCACUGUCUUAGACAUCCAAGUUUGAUAAUUAAAUUGUAUUACUAUUGAUCAUGUUUGACCAUUUUAUUCUUUUGCAAAGGACUUUUUUUCUGUCCUUUUGAAAAGCACAAGGAAAUGUAAACUGAACAACUAAGUUUUGAAUACCCAUUUCCACCUCCUUAUAUAUUUGCCACAAAUCAUUCUAG